rnacentral:rRNA from 1 species
UACAGAGGGUGCAAGCGUUAAUCGGAAUUACUGGGCGUAAAGCGUGCGUAGUCGGCUUUUCAAGUCGGGUGUGAAAGCCCCGGGCUCAACCUGGGAAUUGCAUUCGAUACUGGAUCGCUAGAGUUCGGCAGAGGGAAGUGGAAUUUCUGGUGUAGCGGUGAAAUGCGUAGAUAUCAGAAGGAACAUCAGUGGCGAAAGCGACUUCCUGGACCAGAACUGACGAUCAGGCGCGAAAGCGUGGGGAGCAAACAGG